rnacentral:rRNA from 1 species
UACAGAGGUCUCAAGCGUUGUUCGGAUUCAUUGGGCGUAAAGGGUGCGUAGGCGGCGCGGUAAGUCGGGUGUGAAAUCUCGGGGCUUAACUCCGAAACUGCAUUCGAUACUGCCGUGCUUGAGGACUGGAGAGGAGACUGGAAUUUACGGUGUAGCGGUGAAAUGCGUAGAUAUCGUAAGGAAGACCAGUGGCGAAGGCGGGUCUCUGGACAGUUCCUGACGCUGAGGCAACGGAAGGCCCAGGGGGAGCAAACGGG